rnacentral:tRNA from 2 species
GCGAAAGUGGCGGAACUGGUAGACGCGCUGGGCUUAGAACUCAGUGGGCAACCCCCGUGAGAGUUCGAGUCUCUCCUUUCGCACCA